GCCGCCACCGGCCCGUGUUGCUUGUUCUCUUGUUGCUCCGCUUCCCAGCCACCCCAGAUCGCAAUGGAAGAAGAAAUCGCCGCUCUUGUCAUUGACAAUGGCUCCGGCAUGUGUAAAGCUGGCUUUGCUGGCGACGACGCUCCCCGGGCUGUGUUCCCCUCCACUGUCGGCCGCCCCGACACCAGGGUGUGAUGGUGGGCAUGGGCUAGAAGGAUUCCUAUGUGGGCGAUGAGGCCCAGAGCAAGCGUGGCAUCCUGACCCUGAAGUAUCCCAUCGAGCAUGGUAUUGUCACCAACUGGGAUGACAUGGAGAAGAUCUGGCACCACACCUUCUACAACGAGCUGCGUGUGGCCCCCGAGGAGCACCCAGUGCUGCUGACAGAGGCCCCCUUGAACCCGAAAGCCAACAGAGAGAAGAUGACUCAGAUCAUGUUUGAGACCUUCAACACCCCGGCCAUGUACGUGGCUAUCCAGGCUGUGCUGUCCCUGUAUGCCUCUGGGCGCACCACUGGUAUUGUCAUGGACUCUGGUGAUGGGGUCACCCACACAGUGCCCAUCUAUGAGGGCUAUGCCCUCCCCCACGCCAUCCUGCGUCUGGACCUGGCUGGCCGGGACCUGACAGACUACCUCAUGAAGAUCCUGACGGAGCGUGGCUACAGCUUCACCACCACUGCUGAGAGGGAGAUUGUUCGUGACAUUAAGGAGAAGCUGUGCUACGUCACCCUGGACUUUGAGCAGGAGAUGGCCACAGCUGCUUCUUCCUCCUCUUUGGAGAAGAGCUAUGAGCUGCCUGAUGGCCAAGUGAUUACCAUUGGCAACGAGUGCUUUCGGUGUCCAGAGGCGCUUUUCCAGCCCUCUUUCCUUGGUAUGGAAUCCUGUGGCAUCCACGAGACUACCUUCAACUCUAUCAUGAAGUGCGACGUGGACAUUCGCAAGGACCUAUAUGCCAACACAGUCCUGUCUGGUGGCACCACCAUGUACCCAGGCAUUGCUGAUAGGAUGCAGAAGGAGAUCACAGCCCUGGCACCCAGCACCAUGAAGAUCAAGAUCAUCGCCCCUCCUGAACGCAAGUACUCUGUGUGGAUUGGCGGCUCAAUCCUGGCCUCGCUGUCCACCUUCCAGCAGAUGUGGAUCAGCAAGCAGGAGUAUGAUGAGUCAGGCCCCUCCAUUGUGCACCGUAAAUGCUUCUAAAUGGACUGAGCAGGUGCCAGGCACCUGCUGCAUGAGCUGAUUCCGAAGUAUAAUUUGCCCUGGCAAAUGUACAAACCUCAUGCUAGCCUCAUGAAACUGGAAUAAGCCUUUGAAAGAAAUUUGUCCUUGAAGCUUGUAUCUGAUAUCAGCACUGGAUUGUAGAACUUGUUGCUGAUUUUGACCUUGUAUUCAAGUUAACUGUUUUUUGGUCUGUUUUAUACCCUGUGCAUAUCUUUGAUUCAUCCCCUUAGUCAAUGUGGUUCGGUCACUUGGUGGUUGAGUUGAGCACACUUGGAGAAAUCCGCGGCUUGGCAAUCUGGGUGACCGCAGCACAGAUCUGUGCAGGGUAUUGAGUCGGAGCUGACUGUUACAGGAUUUCUCGGGCUGGCAGGACUUGGUGAACCAGUUGUGACUCCGGUCUUUUUGCUGGUCUAACAGGGU